rnacentral:rRNA from 1 species
AUGGCAAGAAAUGAUUUCGGAUUUGGUUCUUUGAUCAUAGAUAUCAAGCUUGAUGGUUCAAACUACAGGGAAUGGGCAUUUUCUGCCCGGACUGUCUUGAGGACGGCUGGUUUUGUUUCUCAUCUGACAGAUGAUCCACCUAGUCCAAAUGAUGAUGCAGCAAGGAAGUCUUGGCAAAAGAUCGAUGAUCGUGUGAGGGGAGUUUUAAUUCUGGGUGUUGAACCCUCACUCCGAAUGAGUCUUGAGCAUCACACUUCAGCUAAAGAGAUAUGGAAGUACUUUGAGCAGCGCUACCUUCAGCCCAGCAGUGCACUUCAUUUCUCCUUGUUGCAGAAUUUACACAACACUCGGCAGCCAGAAGACAUGUCCAUAGAAGAGUACUAUGGAGCUUUCACUCGCAUCACUGGGCAGCUAGGUUCCAUGGUUCCAAAGGGUAAUUCUGGUUGUGAGUCAUGUGCAGCGAAGGAAAAGUACGACCAUCAAACUCUCAUGUUUCAGUUUGUGAUGGGUCUCAAGCCAGACUUUGAGAACAUUCGCACUCAUUGCUUGGUCGUACGACUCCUCCCACCUUGA